rnacentral:misc_RNA from 1 species
GAAAUGCGAUAAUUAAUGUGAAUUGCAGAAUUCAGUGAAUCAUCGAGUCUUUGAACGCACAUUGCGCCCCCUGGUAUUCCGGGGGGCAUGCCUGUCCGAGCGUCAUUGCUGCCCUCAAGCACGGCUUGUGUGUUGGGCUUCCGUCCCUGGCAACGGGGACGGGCCCAAAAGGCAGUGGCGGCACCAUGUCUGGUCCUCGAGCGUAUGGGGCGUUGUCACCCGCUCCCGUAGGUCCAGCUGGCAGCUAGCCUCGCAACCAAUCUUUUUAACCAGGUUGACCUCGGAUCAGGUAGGGAUACCCGCUGAACUUAAGC